ACCGGGGCGACAGCAAUAUGAAGGUCAGGCUGAAGACCUUACCCGAUUAGCUGAGAGGUGGUGCAUGGCCGUCGUCAGUUCGUACUGUGAAGCAUCCUGUUAAGUCAGGCAACGAGCGAGACCCACGUCCACAGUUGCCAGCAUACCCUCCGGGGUGAUGGGUACACUGUGGAGACCGCCGCUGCUAAAGCGGAGGAAGGAGUGGGCAACGGUAGGUCAGUAUGCCCCGAAUCUCCCGGGCUACACGCGGGCUACAAUGGUUGGUACAAUGGGCAUCUACCCCGAAAGGGGAAGGAAAUCUCUUAAAGCCAAUCGUAGUUCGGAUUGAGGGCUGCAACUCGCCCUCAUGAAGCUGGAAUCCGUAGUAAUCGCGUUUCAACAGAACGCGGUGAAUACGCCCCUGCUCCUU
rnacentral:rRNA from 1 species